UGCGAGCGCCAUCUUGGGCCGUGGGGAACAGCGUUGCAUGAAAUGGCGGCUGCCUCCUGGGCGGGGUGUGUGCCUGCCCUACUGCUGAUGGUGUGGUUGUGGUGACCAGGGCCACCUGCAGAGAGGCACACACAGCCCUUACCACAGCAGCCUCAGCUGGACCCAGAAUGUGAACACAGAAGGUGGCUGGUGCUGUCCUGACCCCAACAUGGUGACCUGAUGCUCUUGGUUCAAAAGUACAGCACCAGCACGGGGCUAAGGGGCAAUGCACAGGGCUCAGAGCACACCCUUAUGGAUCAGGCACGCUAAUCUGGUUCAUAGCAUGUCAGAAGUGGCAGAGGCUGGGUUGUCCUGCAUAUAGAAGGUUAGAAUCAUUAAGGUUGGAAAAGACCUUCAAGAUCAUCUGGUCCAGCCAUCACCCUGCUACCAACGUCACCCACUAAACCAUGUUGCUAAGCACCAGGUCCAACCUUUCCUUAAACAUAUGCUUGUCUUGGGACACUUGUAGGCCUCUUCCUCUAUUUUCCAGUUCAUACCCUGCUCAGUUGCCUAUUGCCUGUGAUGCUCACAGGCACAAGUGAAGUCUGCUUCCCUGGGUUGGAUGAGGCAGUUCAUUUGGCACUCGGGGGCUGGACCCUCUCUUCUGGGAACUUGGGGUUUCUAGGAACACUUGGGAGACAGGAUCUUCACUGGCGUUUCAAGAAGUAUCCUAUGUUAUAUUAAUUCUGAGGAAACCAGCGGACAUGGAGAUGCCAAAGUGGUUGUCGUGGCACUACAUUGUGUUCUGAAGUCUUUGAGUACAGACAUUUCAAUUUGCUGAGAGCCUCUGAAAAUCUUUUUGACUUCAAUAAAGAUAAAAGAGAAAAAUGAAGACUGGAGUACAGUGUAGAGAUACGCAGGUAACUUUGCACAUGCCAGCUCAAGUGCUGAAAGAGAUCAACAGAUGGAACACUGCAUUGGGUUAAUUACCUCACUUUUUGUUGGCUUGGACAGAAGAAGGAAGUCUCAAAGAUGUUAUUUCUCACCUACUGAUGUCCUUAAAUACUGCACUUACAGAGACCAGAGGGAAAUCUUAACAGAGGAAAGUAAGACAAUGAAGAGAAGAUUGCCAGACUACUGUCGGAGACAAGAUACAGACGUGGAAGGACUUUUGGCUUGA
rnacentral:lncRNA from 1 species